rnacentral:misc_RNA from 1 species
UCAUUACCGAAUUGUCAACAAGAGUUGUUGCUGGUCCCUGUAUGGGGGCAUGUGCACGCUCUGUUCACACAUCCACUCACACCUGUGCACCCUCUGUAGUUCUAUGGCCUGGGUGGGCUCUGUCCCCCUGCUGUGGUUCUGCGUCUUUACACACACACUACAACAAAGUCUCAUGGAAUGUAUGUCGCGUUUAACGCAAUGAAAUACAACUUUCAGCAACGGAUCUCUUGGCUCUCGCAUCGAUGAAGAACGCAGCGAAAUGCGAUAAGUAAUGUGAAUUGCAGAAUUCAGUGAAUCAUCGAAUCUUUGAACGCACCUUGCGCCCUUUGGCUAUUCCGAAGGGCAUGCCUGUUUGAGUAUCAUGAACACCUCAACUCUCAUGGCUUGCCGUGAUGAGCUUGGACUUUGGGGGUCUUGUUGGCCUGUGAGCCAGCUCCUCUUAAAUGAAUUAGCUUGCCGGUGUUUGGUGGCGUCACAGGUGUGAUAACUAUCUACGCUUGUGGUUUCCCAUCAGAUAACCUUCAGUGAUGGAGGUUCACCGGGGCUUAUAAACGUCUCUCCUCGGUGAGGACAGAUUUUGACCGUUUGAUCUC